rnacentral:rRNA from 1 species
UGAUCAUGGCUCAGAAUCAACGCUGGCGGCGUGCCUAACACAUGCAAGUCGCACGAGAAAGGGUAGCAAUACCUGAGUAAAGUGGCGCACGGGUGAGUAACACGUGAAUAAUCUACCUCCGAGUGGGGAAUAACUGAGAGAAAUCUUAGCUAAUACCGCAUAACACUUACGAGUCAAAGCAGCAAUGCGCUUGGAGAGGAGUUCGCGGCAGAUUAGUUAGUUGGCGGGGUAAUGGCCCACCAAGACGAUGAUCUGUAUCCGGCCUGAGAGGGCGCACGGACACACUGGAACUGAAACACGGUCCAGACUCCUACGGGAGGCAGCAGUGGGGAAUUUUGCGCAAUGGGGGAAACCCUGACGCAGCAACGCCGCGUGGAGGAUGAAAUCCCUUGGGAUGUAAACUCCUUUCGAUAGGGAAGAUAAUGACGGUACCUAUAG